UCUGAGGCCGUCGGCUUCCUAUGAAGCGCCUGGCUGUCCAUAAGCUGCUAAAUGUUUCUUUUAUUCCUCUCUAUUUCUUACGGACAACAGGAAAAAUAGACACUACUCGAAGCUAGAAGUAUAACAGUGGAUUGGAAAAGCCAAGGAAUACCCUUCUGUCGGAUCUACGUCGGCGCACUGCCACGUUUGUUCAGCCCUUUAGCUUCUGAAGCUAACAGCGGUUGAGGAGAGUGGAAGCCUCGGCACGAGAUGGUUUGACUGUGGUCCAUGAAUAACAAAAAUAUGAGCAUCUAAUCAACGCUUGAUAUCAUGGCUCCAGUCUCACCCUGACCUCUUGGUUUACCCAGGAUCCAAAAUGAGCAUCAGCAGUGAUGAGGUCAAUUUCCUGGUGUACAGAUACCUGCAGGAGUCAGGCUUCUCCCACUCAGCAUUCACCUUUGGCAUAGAGAGCCACAUCAGCCAGUCCAACAUCAACGGAGCUCUGGUGCCCCCUGCUGCCCUCAUCUCUAUCAUCCAGAAAGGCCUGCAGUAUGUGGAGGCUGAAGUCAGCAUCA